GGGUUUAUAGCUCAGUUGGUUAGAGCACUACCUUGACAUGGUAGGGGUCGUUGGUUCGAGUCCAAUUAAACCCACCA
rnacentral:tRNA from 2 species